rnacentral:sRNA from 1 species
AGAUCGUGCCUUUCAGGCAUCCUCUCCCAAAACUUUUCACGGCCCGGUUGGAAACUCCCGGGCCUUUUUUUUGGCUUGA